GACCAUGUAAGUCUUAAAUCUACAAGAGAAAUAACAUAAGGUAAAAUUUUGAACAAUAAUGGCUUUCAUUUAUAUCAACCAAUCUUAUCUUUGUUGGAUUUUGAUCAUUUCUAUGAUUUUGUUUUCAGGAUUAUCAAGUGGUGAGUAUAGUCCUUUGUAUUUAAAAUGUCAAGAGGGUGAUUGCACGUCAGAUUUACAAUGCUAUCAAGAGUGUUAUGGAAAAGGCUAUAGAUAUGGUGGUGCCUGCUAUAUAAUUUAUCCUAAGUCAGUGCGUUGUUGUUGUCGUAAAUGAUGAGUCAAUUUAUGAAUCGAUAAAAGCUAAAUAAAAAAGGCUGUAUCUUUUGUAUGUUCAGAAUUAAAGUAUGUAAGAAUAUAUAUAUUGUGAAAAAUAAAAGGUAUCUUUCAACUUGAUUAAUAUAUAAA